GGACAAUCUCUGUUUUUAAGUGCUGUCUUUUCUUUUCUUUGUCUUUUUUGUUGUUUUGUUUUGUUUUUGAGACAAUGUUUUUCAUUGUCUUGGAACUCACCAAGUAGUAUCUAGGUUAGUGGGCUCAGGAAAUCCAGAGAUCUACUCCCCAUGGUUCAAGUAACAUCCACAGGAGUGGACUUUGAGGAUCAAACAUAGGCCUUUAUGCUUGCAAAACAAGUGCUUUACUGACUGAGCUAUCUAUCCAGCCCCCAGAAAAAAAAAUGUUAGAAAGUUGUGUUCAGAGAGAUAAGAUACAUACAUAUACAUAUACACAUACACACACAAAUAUAUAUAUGUUACCAGUCAAAAACAGUAGUCUUGAGUUCUGAGCUCCAUCAAAUUCAGAUAAUCUACUUUUUUCUACACAGUUAUAAAUAUGGAACAUUUAAAAAACUAAUCUCUGUCCCUUACAGAGUUGCUGCAAUUAGAUACUGAGCUUGCUUUGAAAGUAAACAUAAAAGGUAAAACAAGCGUUGUUGUUACUGUAGUUCUUGUUGAAAGGCAGAGAUCACCUCUGGGUAUCUUCAUCUGCUCAUCUACGUCUUACUUUUUGAGACUGAGUCUUUCACGCAAUCUGGAUUGGUAAAUUCAUCCAGACCAGGUCAGCAAGCUCAAGGGAUCUGGCCCUCUGACCUCCCAGCUCUGUGGUUACAGACAAAUGGCACCAUGCCUAGCUUUUCACGUUGGUGAUGGAGACCCAGACUUCUACACUCACUCUUGAAUAGCAGCCAUUUAUCCACCGAGCAGCCUUUCCAGCCUCUAUGCCUGCAGUGUGGAACCUAUGUACAAAAUGACACAUUUUAUACCACUUCAUUUCUCUCAACUCUUGGACUGUUUUUUUUUUUUCCCAAAAUGUAACCUGCUAAACUUACUGAAAGAAAUCUAUCUCUCUUACAAUUUUACCCAUCAACUGGUCUUAAUGAGUUAAUGGAAGAACUGGUAAAAAUUAGUAGUUAAAAUGGUUUGAAGCAGAUAAGCUCUCGUCCUGUUAUUUUCAAUAUAAGUAAUUUCAGACAGGUGACUUCCACAUCUGACUUCUGUAAAAAUGUCAGAAUUAAAAUCUACCUUAUUGAUGUGACUGACAAGAUCACAGAAGAAGUGUUCACCAUUUGUUCCCUAGAAGUUAUCAAUUUUCUUUUCUAAGAGCUCACUCCCCAUUCCACACUGGAACCUCUCAGAUCAGUUCCCCUUUCCCUGACCUUCAUUCGAUGACUCUGGAGUUUGGGAAUCAUCAACACCAGAGUGCUUUCUCACAGCCCUCAAGUCCAAGGUAUCUGAACUUCAUCUACAAAAACUGUGAAUUCCAGUUGUUUCAUAUUUAACCACAUUUUGUAAAGAAAGCUUUUAUAUCAACAAUGUCUACAUAUCAUGCCAAAGAUCAUAAACCCAGCAGCUAGUAACAGAACCAAGGCAGGAAGCCAGGAAUUUUAAUCCUUAUCUGCAAGUAACUCUCUGUUUCCCUUUCAGUGACCAAGGCAAGGUAAGGCCCAUCCUGAUAACACCCACCCUCUGUGAGACAUAAGACAUAAAACUGGCAAAAGGAGACCCUCUGUGUGGGUGACAUAGGAAUACUUCUUCUAGUCAUUAUUCCUCAUGCUGACCAAGACAUCCUGACUGUUGUCCCUUGCCAGUCUCCUGCAGAAGAAUGUCAACUAACACAGUUUCAGUCUGGACUGUGCCUACUGCCUGUGAUUUCUUUCUAGUGCCAAUGAGAGAAAUACGUUAUUACAAUGUAGUCAAAUUCUUUUCAUGGUAGACUUGGAUUUUCAUCUUCCCCUUGUAACAAUAAGUAAUGACAAUAAUGAAGAACUCAUGAGUUUGAGAUGGUGUUGGGGAUGGCACAUGGGAGUGGUAGAGAGAGGGGGAGAAAAUGAUGAAAACUAUCAAACACAUUUAAAGUAAGAAGAACAUUUAUUCCACAAACAGUUGAUAUAUGUAUAUCAUAUAUAAAUACAUAUAUCAUAUAUAAAUAUAUUUAUUGGGAAAAACAUGUUCAUAGUAAAAGUUCAAGCAGUUCAGGGGCUAUGCAGUCUGUAUUAGUUACUUUUGCAUUUUUGCCAUGAAAAUACUUGGAAGAAACAACCAGAGUGGGGCAAUACAUCCUUUAUGCCUGUUUGAGAUUAUUGUGAUGCGUUCUGUCACGAAAUCAGGGCAGAGUGCUUGGCUUGUGGAGAGAGGAGGGUGUGGCAAAGACAGUUACAUUGUGGCAGAGCAGAAAAGACAGACUUGUCUGAACCAGGAUCCAAGUCCUAGCCCUCAAAGGCCCACCCCUAGUGACCUCACCCCAGCCAGACCCCAUUACUGAAGGCCUCACGUCUCCCCUAAUUACUCCAUCAGCCAGGUGACAACCAUUCAAAACAUAUGUAUGUAGGGAGGCGUUUUAGCUUAGAACUGUAAACAUUGUUAAAAAAAAAUAAAACUAGAGAUAAAAUAAAAUUUCUCCUAUCCAUGAUCCCUCAAUUAUUUGGUUUCCUUGCCUAGAAAUGGCUUUAGUCAGUUUUAUUGUAUAUAUCUCCCCAUAAUGGUCUUUCAUGCACCAGCAUUACACACUUAUUUACUUACUCAUUCAUUUUCUCAGCACAGGACAUAAUUACAUAGCAUUGUACCUCAGGCAUUCUGUGCCCUAGCUAGCCCAUAGUCACAGACACAUGGGUCGAUCCAGACUUUGGUGAAUAUUCAUACAUUAAUUUACUUGUACACCAGUGCAACUGUAUCUGUAAGCUAACUUCACAAGCAGGAGUGUCUAUUCUGAGAAUCCAUGGAGGUUUUAGAUUUGGUAAAGAUUUCCCAACCUUUUCCAAAGAGUCUCUCAUAGCUCAAAAUCCCUCUACUGGCCCAUGGAAAUGCAUUUCCCAGCAUCCCUUUGAUGGGGCUGUGCAUCUAACUUGCAGCUCUGCCAGGCUCCUGACUGACAUCUAUGAACUCAUUGAGUCUGUAUUCUUCAUGAGUUAUGUUGGGCUUCUUUCCAUGUAUCUGCAGUCACUGUUUCCUUGGAAAUUUUCCCAUUGAUUAUUGGCUCAUGUCUCUGGAAUGGAUAUGUAUACUGAUGAGAAUAAACAUAUUCCUGUAUAAUAGACUUAUUCACCAUGC
rnacentral:lncRNA from 1 species